rnacentral:lncRNA from 1 species
ACUAGAGGGUUGGGAUGGGAAGGAGUUUGCUAGAAGUGACAGCACCGAUGACGGAGUUCAUCGAAGCAACAUCACUGCCAAGUACAGGAGUGUUGAUGGAGAUGGGGAAUUGGUAAGUUGGGAGGCAAUAGAGGGAGAGAGAUUUUUUUUUUUUUUUUUUUAUUUGUUUAUUUUAAAUCAAUUGAAGGACUAAAUAGAACUCAUCCAUAAGUUCAGGGAUGAUUUCGGUCAAAAAAUCAUUACUUAAUAGUCAAAAUUGAUGGUUUUACCCUUCAAAUUGAUGACAACAUUGAUAGAAUUUGACGGUAGAAAUAAUUUGACAUGAAAGAGAGAGUUGGAGGACCAUUUCGGU